rnacentral:rRNA from 1 species
ACCGUACUCCUACGGGAGGCAGCAGUGGGGAAUAUUGCACAAUGGGGGAAACCCUGAUGCAGCCAUGCCGCGUGUGUGAAGAAGGCCUUCGGGUUGUAAAGCACUUUCAGUAGGGAGGAAAGGGUGAGUCUUAAUACGGCUCAUCUGUGACGUUACCUACAGAAGAAGGACCGGCUAACUCCGUGCCAGCAGCCGCGGUAAUACGGAGGGUCCGAGCGUUAAUCGGAAUUACUGGGCGUAAAGCGUGCGCAGGCGGUUUGUUAAGCGAGAUGUGAAAGCCCUGGGCUCAACCUAGGAAUAGCAUUUCGAACUGGCGAACUAGAGUCUUGUAGAGGGGGGUAGAAUUCCAGGUGUAGCGGUGAAAUGCGUAGAGAUCUGGAGGAAUACCGGUGGCGAAGGCGGCCCCCUGGACAAAGACUGACGCUCAUGCACGAAAGCGUGGGGAGCAAACAGGAUUAGAUACCCUAGUAGUCCUUGAC